GGGGGCUGUGGCUGGGUUCUUAGGCAAGCAGCCUAGAUCUAUUCUGCAUUACCCAGGGAGACAGCAGUGAGCACAAUGUCCAGCACACAGAAAACAUUUCACAACCUUCCCUGUUAUCAUGGCGGACACUGUAAGGAGGGAAUGGGCCAGAAAGGGUUUGCAGUCAUUUGCGGGUUUGCACCACCAAGGGGCGCUCGAGGUGGAACAGUUUCGUGCUGGGUCGUACCACUGACAGGAACAGAGGAGCACUAAUACCCCCGUGUGUGGUCUGUUCCUACUCCGUUCUUCUGACCCAAUGGAGACCGCAGCAGGAAUCCAUUUCCUUUCUGGAUGGUGAUUGGUCACCGAGGGAGCUACAAGU